CGAGAACACACGCUGAUCCGACUGAAGCAGAACCUUCUCUGGAGAAAGUGAGAGAGAGGAACAACAAUGGAGUGAAAGCAGCAAUAUCAGGGAAUACCAAAAGGAUAAACAGUGAGCUACAACAGAAAGAGCAGAAUCUCUGUCAUCUGGGACUGACUGAUGAGGGUUUCAACUGUCAACAGACUGUGGGAUGAGAAUCACACACAGCAGAGCUUCUGUGUAACAUCAUUUCACUCCGUUAUCAUCUCUCUGUUACUCUAUUUCUCAUCACGUCUCCCAGGGAACACACAAAGGGAGGAAGUCGAGGAAAACCACGUCAUGUUGGGCUGGAAAAACGGCUGCAUGGAUAAAAACUUGCCCGAGUUGAUUGAUUCAAAAUGUAGAUGAGAGUUUAUAGAGCAUCGCUCUGUCUUUUUCUGGCUCUCGUUUUGUUUUUAGGAGGGUGAAUAAAGGACGUGAUUGUGCGAGUAUAAAUAA